rnacentral:ncRNA from 2 species
UAUAAUAAAAAAGAUACAGGUGUUUUUUAACUUAAUAAGGAAAUCGGUUAAAAUCCGAUACAGCCACCACUACUGUGAAAUGGACGAAAGUGUAUAGCCACUGAAAACGAAAAAUUUAUUUUAAAAAAUUUUUUAAUUUGUUGAAAAAAUAUGAAAAGUUUUAAAAUAAAAAAAUUUUUUGGGAAGGAUACGAGUAGGAAGAAGUUAGUCAGGAGACUUGCCUGUAAUCUUUGCAAUAU